AGAGUGAACGCUGGCGGUAGGCCUAACACAUGCAAGUCGAACGGCAGCACAGUGGUAGCAAUACCAUGGGUGGCGAGUGGCGGACGGGUGAGGAAUACAUCGGAAUCUACCUUUUCGUGGGGGAUAACGUAGGGAAACUUACGCUAAUACCGCAUACGCCCUUCGGGGGAAAGCCGGGGAUCGCAAGACCUGGCGCGGAUAGAUGAGCCGAUGUCGGAUUAGCUAGUUGGUGAGGUAAUGGCUCACCAAGGCGACGAUCCGUAGCUGGUCUGAGAGGAUGAUCAGCCACACUGGAACUGAGACACGGUCCAGACUCCUACGGGAGCAGCAGUGGGGAAUAUUGGACAAGUGGGCGCAAGCCUGAUCCAGCCAUACCGCGUGGGUGAAGAAGGCCUUCGGUUGUAAAGUCCCUUUGUUGGAAAGAAAGCAAUCGGUAAUACCCGGUGUUCGUGACGGUACCCAAGAAUAAGCGACCGGCUAACGUUCGUGCCAGCCGAGCCG
rnacentral:rRNA from 1 species